rnacentral:rRNA from 1 species
UACGUAGGUGGCAAGCGUUGUCCGGAAUUAUUGGGCGUAAAGCGCGCGCAGGCGGUCCUUUAAGUCUGAUGUGAAAGCCCACGGCUCAACCGUGGAGGGUCAUUGGAAACUGGGGGACUUGAGUGCAGGAGAGAAGAGUGGAAUUCCCGGUGUAGCGGUGAAAUGCGCAGAUAUCGGGAGGAACACCAAUGGCGAAGGCAGCUCGCUGGGACGGUACUGACGCUGAGGCGCGAAAGCGUGGGGAGCAAACAGG